AGUUUGAUCCUGGCUCAGGAUGAACGCUAGCUUCAGGCUUAACACAUGCAAGUCGAGGGGAAACGAUAGAGAAAGCUUGCUUUUUCUAGGCGUCGACCGGCGCACGGGUGAGUAACGCGUAUCCAACCUGCCUACCACUUGGGGAUAACCUUGCGAAAGUAAGACUAAUACCCAAUGAUAUCUCAAGAAGACAUCUGAAUGAGAUUAAAGAUUUAUCGGUGAUGGAUGGGGAUGCGUCUGAUUAGCUUGUUGGCGGGGUAACGGCCCACCAAGGCGACGAUCAGUAGGGGUUCUGAGAGGAAGGUCCCCCACAUUGGAACUGAGACACGGUCCAAACUCCUACGGGAGGCAGCAGUGAGGAAUAUUGGUCAAUGGACGAGAGUCUGAACCAGCCAAGUAGCGUGCAGGAUGACGGCCCUAUGGGUUGUAAACUGCUUUUAUAAGGGAAUAAAGUGAGUCUCGUGAGACUUUUUGCAUGUACCUUAUGAAUAAGGACCGGCUAAUUCCGUGCCAGCAGCCGCGGUAAUACGGAAGGUCCGGGCGUUAUCCGGAUUUAUUGGGUUUAAAGGGAGCGUAGGCCGGAGAUUAAGCGUGUUGUGAAAUGUAGGUGCUCAACAUCUGCACUGCAGCGCGAACUGGUUUCCUUGAGUACGCACAAAGUGGGCGGAAUUCGUGGUGUAGCGGUGAAAUGCUUAGAUAUCACGAAGAACUCCGAUUGCGAAGGCAGCUCACUGGAGCGCAACUGACGCUGAAGCUCGAAAGUGCGGGUAUCGAACAGGAUUAGAUACCCUGGUAGUCCGCACGGUAAACGAUGGAUGCCCGCUGUUGGUCUGAAUAGGUCAGCGGCCAAGCGAAAGCAUUAAGCAUCCCACCUGGGGAGUACGCCGGCAACGGUGAAA
rnacentral:rRNA from 1 species